rnacentral:rRNA from 1 species
GACGAACGCUGGCGGCGUGCUUAACACAUGCAAGUCGAACGGAAAGGCCCUGCUUUUGUGGGGUGCUCGAGUGGCGAACGGGUGAGUAACACGUGAGUAACCUGCCCUUGACUUUGGGAUAACUUCAGGAAACUGGGGCUACUACCGGAUAGCAUCUCCCCCUGCAUGGUGGGGGUUGGAUAUUUUCGGCUGUUGGGGAUGGAUUCGCGGCUUAUGAGCUUGUUGGUGGGCUAGUGGCUUACCAAGGGUUUGACGGGUAGGCGGCCUGAGAGGGGGACCGGCCACAUUGGGACUGAGAUACGGACCAGAGUCGUACGGGAGGCAGCAGUGGGGAAUAUGGCACAAUGGGCGGGAGUCUGAGGCAGAAACGCCGGGUGCGGAAUGACGGUUUUCGGGUUGUAAACAGCUUUCGGCUGUGACGAGGCGUGAGUGACGGUAAUGGGUAAAGAAGCACCGGCUAACUACGUG